UCCCUACCCAGUGGAAAAAAAACAAAAAACUUUGUACAAUUUGAUAUGCUCUAUGUUAUGGAUAAUUUUUCUUUUGGCAAUGCAUUUCCUGGUUGGAUUUGCACCUAAAAAGAGGGGCUCAAAGCUGUCACAACUCACAAGCCUUCAAUUUGCCUCUUGUUUUGUGUCCGCUAAUUCUUUACCCCAGAAGUAGGAAACUCAUGUAGCCACACAAAGCAUCUGCCACCCCACAUUGUCCCCCUUUCAUGCCUUUACUAGCUCCCAACUAUAAAAAAAGGCCUUCUACUUACACAUUCCUCUCAAUUCAUCACCCAUUCUUUCUUCUUGAACAAACCACAUCCCUUUGAAAUUACACAAAGUAACACCUUCUUUCUCUCUCUUUCUUCUGUUUCAGCAGGAGGAAGAGAGACAAUCAAGCCCUUUAGGACUUGAUCCUGUAGAUCAAAAUGGCUAAGACUAUGAGGAAUUUGAAUUCUUGGAUGGAGGUCGCUCCGAUGCUCGUUGCCUACCCGCAUAAGCCUUCCAAUUCCCCCGAGCUGGAAACCAUACAUGAAGAAGACGAGGGAGACUAUGAUGAUUCGUGAUGUUUUAUGUUACUUUGUUUUGCUCUAGAUUUUCUACAUGUACGUUUGUAUAGAAAUAUCAUGAUCGAGGGAUAAGAUUCAGUCUACUGCCUUUUUGGUCGAA